UUCAGGCUUCCACGUUCUGGGAAGGAGACAAGACCAGAUCCUGCUCACCUUAGGGAGCUCUGAGUUCUUGGUUUGACCUCUGGGAGAUUCAGGCAGAGGAUUAAUUCAGAUGGCUCAAGGAAAUGGCAAAGAGCUCCUGUCUCUGCCCAGAAAACCCCAAAGCAGGGAAAGAAGAGUUACCAAAGCAAGAACAGGGAGCCUGGAGUCCCAGGGAAUGGCCUUGGAGAGGGACAGACUCCCAGCCCAGGUAAGUGCAUUCCAGCCCCAGAUCGGAUUCCCAUCAGCCACGGAGGCCCUCUCUGGGUCUGACACAAAAUGGGCUGGGAAGCUGCUUCCUCCUUCCUGUUGGACCAUUUUUAUACUUGUAUUGAAGGCAGGAGGAACAGCAUUUCCUGACAUUUCUCGGUGUUGGCCAAUGAUUCCUUGGUCCUUGGGCAUGAAUUUAGGUCAGGUCAGACCCCAAGAGCUCCCCCCAGGCGCUGCUUCCCUUGUUGGAUUUCUCCCCAUCACAAAGAGGAAAUUGUCCCCCUGGUGCUGCUCACUUGCUUCUGCCUCGAGUCCUCCGAGUCUUCCCAAGUCAGCCGAUCCGGAGGAACACCCCAGUCUGUGCUGGGUACUGCCUAGCCCAGCCGGGUGCUGCUGAGCACAAAGAAAAGGAAAACCAUCGGCCACCCCACCAACGUUCUGACCGGGGAGACCCGUCAGCAACUGUGUCCAAAGAACACUCUGCAGGUGUGGUGGAGGGAGGCAUUCUGGGAGGGAAGGCUGUAAGGGUUCUGGGACCACAGAAAUCAUUGGUUCCCAAGGGGAGGAUUUAGCUGGGACUUGAAGGAAGCUCAGGCCAGAGGGAGGAGGGUAAUCAUUCCCUGCAGAGAGACAGCCCCUGGAAAGGCCCAGAAUCGGGUCGUGGAAGGUCUUGGCCAAGGAUCAUCCUGGAGACCUGUGUCCCUGAGUCUGAGGAGGAGGAGGAAGGUGUGAGGAGAUGGGAAGGGGCUGGAAGGUCAUAUGCCAUUGGACCCUGUUGUGGGAAUGGUCGGGGUCCUUGGCAGUGAUAGCCAGAAUCGGGCCGCUGGGGGGAGCCCAGGAACGGCCCUCACACAGAAAAUGGGGCCUUUUUUUUUUUCAGAAGAGGAGCUUCGAGGGUUCAGCAGAGCUAUUUGUCCCAGACCCAGGAGCUGGGUAGAUGCCUUCUCUGGUCAGUAGAAUGCCUCACUAGUCUAGUCCUUCCCCUUGUUAAGACAGGCUGAAGAGAAAGAGGUUUCUGGAAGGCCUGGGAAUUUUCUUUGCAAAGAGGGUUAGAGAGGUCCUGAGGGAGACCUCCUGGCCUUGUCAAAAAGGCAUGUCGCCCGCUCGACAUCAAAGAGUGGGAGACAGACAGACUGGAGUUCUUCAUGCUCUUCUGAAAACCUGCUUUCAGCCAUUUAUAGAAUCACCCUCUGAGGUCAGUGUUCUUAUUUUCAUUAUUUCCCAGUUGAGGAAACGGAGGCAAACAGGUUAUGUGAACUUACAGUCAUGCAGCAUGUAAGGAUCUGGCAGGAUUGCAAAGCAGAUUUUUAGGAAUAUCCUUUUGUAACGACUAUCACUAUGUUUGUGAGCCUACCUCAAAAUCUCCAUUUAUACACCCCCCCCCCCAUGAUCCUGUGGGGAAACCAGUUUUCCCCAAAGGAUCAUGGAAACAUCUUCAACUUAAAGAUUGUAAUCAUGUGUGGAUAAAAGGGAAAGAGAAACCCCCGUGAUGACUAGGUUGACAAGAAGCCAAUUUGGGGGCAGUCCCCUUUGGGAUAAGCGUCUCUAUUCAAAACAAAGGCAUUUCAGCCCCUCAUAGUUCACUUUCCAUCCCUCUGGAUCUUCUGGUGCAGCAUGUGGUCUCUGCAGGCCUCCAUCUAAAUGGCACAUUCUGGAUCCUGGGAGGGAGCAAGUUUCUUAUCCUAAAAUUGCUUCAAUUUAAAUCCUAGUUCACAGCAAUAACUCCCCCCCCCCCCCCUGAAUAAUAACAAACAUGGGGAUCACUCAGGGAUGCAUGACUGAGUUAGGAGGUACAGGAAGCCAUUUGCAAAAGAAAAUCAAGAACAUGAAAAGAUCCAAAUAAAAGAGGAAAGUAACUUGUGAAUGAAAUACA
rnacentral:lncRNA from 1 species